rnacentral:rRNA from 1 species
UCUACUGAUCUCAUCAACCCUUUGUGAACAUACCUUAA